UACAGAGGUCCCAAGCGUUGUUCGGAUUCACUGGGCGUAAAGGGUGCGUAGGCGGUCGGGUAAGUCUGAUGUGAAAUCUCACAGCUUAACUGUGAAACUGCAUUGGAUACUAUUCGGCUUGAGAGUUGGAGGGGGGACUGGAAUUCUUGGUGUAGCAGUGAAAUGCGUAGAUAUCGUCUGGAACGCCGAAGGUGAAAACAGCUCGCUGGGAUUGUGCUGACGCUGAGACACGAAAGCCAGGGGAGCGAACGGG
rnacentral:rRNA from 1 species